rnacentral:rRNA from 1 species
AUAGACCGUACCCGAAACCGACACAGGUGGACAGGUAGAGUAUACCAAGGCGCUUGAGAGAACUAUGUUGAAGGAACUCGGCAAAAUACCUCCGUAAGUUCGCGAGAAGGAGGCCCCGUCAGGACGCAAGUCUUGGCGGGGGGCACAAACCAGGGGGUGGCGACUGUUUACUAAAAACACAGGGCUCUGCGAAGUCGCAAGACGACGUAUAGGGUCUGACGCCUGCCCGGUGCUGGAAGGUUAAAAGGAGGGGUGAGAGCUCUGAAUUGAAGCCCCAGUAAACGGCGGCCGUAACUAUAACGGUCCUAAGGU